UGCCGGGUGGUGUAAUCGGUAACACGCCUCGCUUUGAACGAGGUAAGUCUAGGUUCGAGCCCUAGCCCGGCAG
rnacentral:tRNA from 1 species